ensembl:lncRNA novel transcript
UUAAAGUAUUUCAUCAGUUGGACCUACCAAAUAUCAAGUCAGGAUUUGGCCAUCUCUGCUCUUGCCAUUCCACCUCUCACGACUCUAUCCUCAAAACCUGGGCUUGGCUGGGAACAAGAGAUUUAAAUCAGACUCUUUUAGGUUUUCCUAAUAAGACUGCUGCAAAUAAGGAUUGAGCCCUAGCUGAAGGCCUCAUCCUUCCAUGCCCUUUGCUUGUCCACCCAUCAACAAGCCAGGAUGAGGAGAAGCAAAGACAGCAGCAUUUACCCACAGAACCCUUUGUUGGCAGAAGCAAAAAUUGAUAGUGGAACACAUGAGGGCAGUUCCACAAGAUCCGUCCAUGAAGAGUCGGAUUUAUCAAGAAAAAUAUUAUUCUUUCGUGAACAAGAAAGAAAACAAGACAAUUUAAAAACAUCUAGAUUAAAGAUGAGCAUGUCAAUUUCAGGUGUAAGUGGCCUCGCAGGAAUGAAAGGCUGUGCUGUCUGUAUACCACUGCACUGUUGCCUCCCUGGAGAACUUUAUGCCUUACCCUGGAAGCACCCUAUCUUCAAAGCAGGGGUGUUUGAAAAUUCAUUCCCAUAACAGUGUGGAGCACAUCGAGAAAGACUGUACUGAAACUUCCAGAUAGAACUUAUGAGGACCCAGACCCAGCAGUGGCUGUGAGGAUGAAGAGGCAAUGGGAUCUGGGACCUCAGAUAGAUCCAAGAAAUAUGCAGCAGUGGGGAUCAACGGCCUUGUAUAGAUCCUUGAUGUUAGAAGGAAAAGUGAGAUGAAUGA